UACGUAGGGGGCAAGCGUUGUCCGGAAUCAUUGGGCGUAAAGCGCGUGUAGGCGGUUCGGUAAGUCUGCUGUGAAAGUCCAGGGCUCAACCCUGGGAUGCCGGUGGAUACUGUCGGACUAGAGUACGGAAGAGGCGAGUGGAAUUCCCGGUGUAGCGGUGAAAUGCGCAGAUAUCAGGAGGAACACCGGUGGCGAAGGCGGGUCUCUGGGCAGUAACUGACGCUGAGAAGCGAAAGCGUGGGGAGCGAACAGG
rnacentral:rRNA from 1 species